GAUGAAGAACGUAGCGAAAUGCGAUACGUAAUGUGAAUUGCAGAAUUCAGUGAAUCAUCGAAUCUUUGAACGCACAUUGCGCCUGCCAGCACUCUGGCAGGCAUGCCUGUUCGAGCGUCAUUUCAACCAUCAAGCCCUAGGCUUGCGUUGGAGCCCUGCGGCUGCCGCAGGCCCCUAAAAGCAGUGGCGGGCUCGCUAUCACACCGAGUGCAGUAGAUUACUCUUCGCUAAGGGCGUGUGGCGGGUUCCAGCCGUGAAACCCCCUACUUCUCAAGGUUGACCUCGGAUCAGGUAGGAAUACCCGCUGAACUUAAGCAUAUCAAUAAGCGGAGGA
rnacentral:misc_RNA from 1 species